GCGGGAGUAGCUCAGUUGGUUAGAGCCCCAGAUUGUGGAUCUGGUUGUCGCGGGUUCGAGUCCCGUCUCCCGCCCCA
rnacentral:tRNA from 1 species